ensembl:lncRNA
GGGGAACAUUUAUUGCUUUUUGGAAUGACAGGCAACAAACAUUCUUUGUUUACUAAAAUGGCAGGCAACUUUUUUUUUUUUUUUUUUGUCUACUUAGGAGAGUUUUAAAGUUUUCUCUCUGUUGGUUUUUUUGGGGGGGAUAAUUUUUGCUAGGCUAAUUUCUUAGCACUUUUAGUUUGUUCACUCUAAUGAAUGAUAGCUUAUUUUUUGAAUGAAGUUUUCUGCCUGAUUGUUAGUGGUUUAGAAACAUUUCUGGAUUUUGGAAGUUAAUCUGCAUUUGGAAACCUUGCUAACUCUAUUAAUUCAGAAUUUUCCUGUUGAUUCUAAUGACUUUCCAUGUAGAUGAUCAUCUCUAUUACACAUAGGACAAUUUUGCUUCUCCUUUCUAAUCCUCAUACUUCAUCUUUAUACUAAAUAGCAAUGAUAACAGUUAUCUUUGUCUUCUGAAUUUAAAGACCCUGUGAAAAAUUUCUCUGUAAGGUAUGAUAUUUACUGUAGAGUUUGGCCAUUAAGCAUAUUAUCAAGUUUAGGAAAUGUUUUAUUACUUUUAUUUUCUUUGGUUUUAUCAUAUACAGGUUAUUGAACAAUACUUUUCUUAUACCUGUUGAGAUAGUCAUAUGAAUUUUCCAUAGUAGUCUUACUUAAUUUCUUCUUUCCCUUUAGUUUUCUUCUUUGAAUAAAGCUUUAUUUUUUUUUCAUGAAGGUAUUGCAUAUAUUUUGUUAAAUUUAUUCCUAACUACUUGGUGUUUUUAAUGCUAUCAUUAUGACAUUUUAUAACUCCUUGUUGCCACUGUUUAGAAAUACAAUUGAUUUUUGUAUAUUGAUUUUGUUUUCAGCAACCUUGCUAAGAUUUUUUUUUAAUCUUAGUAACAAAUACAAUGUCCUUAGCACUGCACCUUAUUUAUUUAUUUUGCUUCUACUUGACUUUUGAAAUCACAGUUUUCUAUGCACAGUAGAUUAUAGUUCUCAUGGAUUGCUGUUAUUCUAGGAAUUGAGGCCUCUGGGAAAUCCUUAUAGCUGUAUUUUCUUACUUGCAGGGCCUCAGCCUUAGCUGCUGAAACAAAUACAUCAUUUGCUUUUAUUUGUCCUUAAUGCCUUUUGUUAUAUUGGUGGUUGUAUUGAAAUAUAUGUUCUGCUUCCCUGUUCAGGUUGACGUUUACUGAAUUUAUUUGUGGCUACAGGCUGAUCCAGACAGUGAGAUGGGUGCUGAGGAUACAGAAUGGUCAAGUCAGUCCCUGUUUUCUCAGUAAUUUAGAGCUGGUGGACUUCUGGGCAGAUGUAUUCCUGAUUAAUUUUUCCAAGUUUGGGUAAAGGAUCCAGCAUUGCCAUGAGCUAUGGUGUAGGUUGCAGAUGUGGCUCAGAUCUGGCAUUGCUAUGGCAUAGGCCAGCAGCUGCAGCCCCAAUUCAACUUCUAGCCUGGGAACUUCCAUAUGCUGCAGGUCCAGCCCUAAAAAAAAGAAUAAACAAAACAAACAAAAAUCAAACCCAAAAAACCCCACAUAAAUAUGCGUGGUAUUGGCCCAUCUCUGUAACACUUUUGCCAUACACCCUUCAUGUGGCAUCUUGGGACAUGCAAAAAUUUAGAAGAUCGGUAUUUUGCCAGAAAAGAAGUUGGACCUUCCAGCUCCUAGAUUUGGUCACAAACAUCCUUCGGUCAUGAGAAUGUUGGAGUGAAGAUUGGGGUAUGGAGAAAGCUUGCCGUAGCCCAACCCAUUUUGAGAUUAUUUUUGGCAAUUUUUCAUCUCGUGUGUCUGAACAUAUUUUAGGCACUUCCUUUUCAGUUUUGAAAGAGCAGUGUUUGAAUUGCGUAUGGUAUUGUCACAUCAACACUUGACCAGUGGUGUGGGGAGAAUCCUCUUGAGCUCUGUGGCUUGGAAAGGCUGCUGUGCUUGGGUGUGGAGUGACUUUUCCAUCUGGGAUGUCUCCCGGGACAUUUACCACGCUAAUGUCAAGAAGAAGAUGGACAGAAUCCGUUCCCUCCUCCGAGCCCAUCAUAAUGCUCUUCACUUCUUAAGCAGUAUCCCUGUUUGACCUCCCCAGAAAGAGUUUACUUAAACUAAAAGGAAGAGACCUUGGGGAAAUUAUUGCAUCAAUGACAAUACUUUCAUAAAAUGGAAAACCCUGCAGCAUCUAAAAACAUUUUCAAGGAAUUUUUUUAUGUCAGGUGAAAAUGUUGAUGAUGAAGUACUAACUGAGAAAUGAGUGAGUCUUGGUAUUUUUCUGUUUCCCCUCCAAUCAAGUUCUUGAAUUUAUUAUAUGUAUUGUGUUGACAACUGGAGGAAAUUUUUCUAAAAAAAAGUUAAUAAAAUUUAUUUUUAAAAUACAUUACACACACAGAAAUGUAACCUGUAGGAUUAAAUAUGAGAUAUUACAGGGUUAUUUAUCUCCUGGUCACUGCUCUUUGAAGCUUGUUUUAGAAUUUCUGUCAAGCACACUUGGGUACUGGGGUUGUUGGAGGUGGGCUAAUGAACAGCAAGCCGGCAACGUGCAAGAACAUCUGGGUGUGGAAUCAAUGUUUGGAAGGAUCAUACCGAUGGUGGCCGGUUUAGGAAACAGUUGGUGGGUAGGUAAGUAGCAGAACCCACAUCUCAGGGUCCAAACAGUACUGGGGGAUAUGGCUCUGAAAAUGAUGAGAGCUGAGAAGGAAGGCAAAAAAAGGGCCAUCCUUAAUCUCUAGGGACAUAGCACAAGGAGCCAAGGUGCUAGGAAGUUCUUCUGUAGGAAGAUAUGGACAAGGUACUGAACCCAUCACUGAAUUAGAGCUUAGUCAUCAAGAAGAAAUGAAGAGCCAUGGUGCUGGUAGGGGUGUGAUAUAAGCCUCCUAGAGGUCUUUUUAAAUUUUUUAUAAAAAUUUUUAGUUUUAUUUAUUUUAAUUUUCAAGUAUGGUUGAUUUACAGUAUUGUGCCAAUUUCUCCUGUGACCCAGUCAUACAUUUAUAUACAUUCUUUUUCUCAUACUAUCUUCUAUCAUGUUCUACCCCAAGAGACUGGAUAUAGGUCCCUGUGCUGUACAGUAGGACCUCAUUGCUUAUCCAUUCGAAAUGGAAUAGUUCACAUCUACUAACCCCAAACUCACCGUCCAUGUCCAUCCCCGUCCCCGCCCCCCGCCCCGCCCCAGCAACCACAGGUCUGUUCUCUAUGUCUGCGAGUCUGUUUCUCCUUUAUAGAUGGGUUCAUUUGGGCCAGAUUUUAGAUUCCACAUGUAAGGGAUGUCAUAUGGUAUCUGUCGUCUCUUUCUGACUUACUUCACUUAGGAUGAGAAUCUCUAGUUGCAUCCAUUUGGCUGCAGAUGCCAUAGAAGUCUUGAUCUUCAGCUGUACAUCACAGCCUUCUUCAUUCUAACCUCCUCCCUAACCACUCUGACCCCUUCUGGCCACCCUCUACACACACCCCUGCUACUAUUCAUCCUGGAGUCUGAGUGGGUAGUGUGCUAAUGAGGUAGGAGGAAUCUCACGUUGACUGCUGCUGUUAUAAUCUCUGACCUUCUAGUGCGAAACCAUUUUCUUCCGCUGGCGAAUUACCCGUAGAAAAAGGGUAUUCGCUGAAUUGCUGAAAUGAGACAAAAGCCCUUAUAGAGCAGCAAUAUUUAAAAGUCCUGCUCCAGGCAGCAGUGCAUUUCUGAGAUGAAGUCUUUGAUGAUAUGAAAUUAAGCUUUUGUGAUAAAACUUCUAAGUCAUACUGUGUCUUAGGCUUCUGAUCUUGGGCAGAUCAUGUCACUCCAAGUCUCUAUUUCCUUUCUGUUAAUUUAUGAUAUAUUUUACCCUGGCUAUGAAGUCCAAAGUCAAAGAUACUAAUGUAUAUGAAAUCAUUGGGUAACAGUUAUACAGAUGACAGGCUUUUUUUCUAUUUUUAUGGCCACACCUGAGGUAUGCAGAAGUUCCCAGGCCAGGCCUUGAACCCAUGUCACAGAAACAGCCUGAGCCACUGCAGUGAACAAUGCCGGUCCUUAACCUUCUCUGCCACAAGGGAACUCCUGUCAGGUAUUAUUAUGCAAUGUAGACAUUUCUGAAAUAUGGGAUAGGUGUCUGAAAGAUUGCAGUGGAGUUGGUGUUUGGUGUUGUGAGGUGGGAUUGUGGUGAAGUGUGCCCACUUGGAUGUGAUACUUCUCUUUUUCAAGCUUUUAAAGGAGAAAGGAAAAUAGUCCUUAAAUCUGGUUUAUUUGUAGUAUGAGAGAAAAAAGGAUCUCAACAGAAGACAAUAUUUUAUACCAUUUAGAAAUAGACAUUUAUAUAAAUGUUAAAAGGCAGUUUAAUUUUCAAUCAGACUAAUUAUAUCAGGGUUUUUUUUUUUAUCCUAGUUUGUGUUUCUUUUCCUUAUACAAGUCCACUGGCUCUGAAAAUAUAUGCCUUAGUUUUUUAGUUCCUCUAACCUUUUAAAGAACAUUUAAGGAUUACCUCCUAAAAGAUACAGCAGAACCAAGAGAAAAUUCCUCUUGUAUAAGACCCUGGGAACUCCAAGUUUAGUCUUGGGUCUAUCUUAGAAAUUCUAUUCUCUAUUCUCUUUUAUUGGCAUUUUUGAUCUCCUUCUUUUACUACUUUCAAGAACUGUGAAAAGCUAAGGGAAAUUGUAUUUGAAAAAUAUCUUGAGCUGUGGAAUAGAGAUACAUUAUUAAAGUUAUUAAUAUUGGCUUUGAAUUCGCCAAGUGUUUAUUGGCUGGCAUGUCAUAAUAGUUAUGCUUUCUGCCCUGUGGGUCAGCAUUCUUGGGGACAUUGCAGGUGGGGAUAAUGUCUCUAUUUCUUAAGCUGACGUUAAGACUUUCUAUAAUUGCAAGUGCUCCAAUUGCUCCCAUUUGAAUUUCUCCAUUCCAUCUGAAUUUCUCUCCUCUUGGUGGUGGUCACAUCUGUGCCCUCUCUCCCUUCCACGACUGUGAAUCUUGUACUGGCUUCCCUGUGGCACAUUUUCAAAUUUCUCAAGUCUACACCGAUCUUUCUGAACUUAAAUAGCACUCAUAUUAAUUGGCUUUUACUGUGUUUUCUCUUAUAUUAUUAUUAUUUGCCUUUUUAUGUGCAUGUCUCUCCUACCCCUCAUCUUGACAGUAGAUUUUUUUUUCUUUAGAGGCCAGUCACUAUCUCCUACAGGAUUUUUUUUAGCACCAAUAUAGCAUUUUUCUCCAAGUAGAAUUUGGCCAUUGAUUUAUCAUUGGCUAUUAUAAUCCCCAACUACUGUUGCAUAAACUGAGGCACAGCUGAUGGUUCAGUGUCAUAAAAUAAGCUGGUAGCACAGAUAGGAAAGGAACACACAAUAUAAGAUUUCUAGUCAUCCUAAACCUGACGUUUAUUUGAAUAUACUUCAUUUUUAGGACUGUUUUAGAUUUACAUCAAAAUUGAGAAGAUGGUACAGGAAACUCCUAUGUACUCCAUACAACUUACUCUGUCGUUAACGUCUUAGAGUAAUGGGCUAUGUUUGAUAUAAUUCAUGAAUCAAUAUUGGCACAAUAUUGAAUCAAUAUUGUUAUUAACUGAAGCUCGUACUUCAUACCUUUCAUUUUUACCCAAUAUCUUUUAUUUCCCAAGGUCCCAUCCUGGAUACCACAUUACAUUUAGUUGUCAUUUCUCUUUAGGGUCCUCUCGACCGUGACAGCUUUCUCCCUUUACUUGUUUUUGAUGACUUUGACAGUUUUGAGACGUAUUGGUCAGGUAUUUUGCAGAGCGUCUCUCAACUGGUCUUUGUCUGAUAUGUUUUCAUGAUUAGAUACAAGGUAUGCUUUUGGUGGGGCAUAGAUAACAGAGGUAAGCUACCAUUUUUAUCAUAUAUUGAGGGUACGAACUAUCAAUACAACUUAUCUCUAUUGAUACUGACCUUGAUCACCUGGCGGAAGUCGGUUUCUCUGCUCUAAAAUUACUUUUUAUUUUCUUUUCCUCUUUUCAUACUAUUUGCUUGGAAGCAAAUCUCCAUUCUCAGUCUACACUUAAGGAGUGGAGAGUUAUGCUCCACUCUAUAAAUUAUUUGGGAUAUGUCUCUUAUCACCCAUUUAUUAAUUUAUUCAGUCAUUUAUAUCUGGACGGAGUCAUGGAUAUUUAUUUUAUACUUUAGAUUAUAACCCCACACAACUUUACUUAUUGCUUAAAUCGUUGGGCUUUGGCCAAAUGGAGCCCUUUCACUUGGUUCCUGUACACUUUUGGUAUAGUAUCCAACCAAUCCGGGGUUUUUUUUGUUUGUUUGUUUUUGUGCACUUUCUUACUUCCUCACUGCAAAGUGAUCCAGGCUGAUCUUGAAUAUUUCUUGCCCUAGUGCUAGAAUUAACUUAAUAAAUUAGAAUUAAUGAAUUAAAGAGCCUGGAUUCUUUUUAUUGGCGAAUGGAAGUAGAAAUCAAGACAUGGCUACUACGUAAGUUUGUUUUUUUGAGGCUCUCUGUAUUGACAUAGCAAAAAAUAUAUAUAUGUGUGUAUGUAUUAACCUGUACACACACACAUGUACACACUUCUAGGUAUAAUCAUCUUUAUCUGCAUUAAGCUAAACAUGAGUUCUUUUUGAUGACUCCACCUCUAAUCUACUUGCAUAUGAAUCUUUCUAGGCUCCUCCUCUUAUCUGGAAAUUCCCACUCCAUCAGAGGGUUAUCUGGCCCCCACUAUCAAUACCCUGUUUACUUAAUUUUUUAGUUCUAGUAUACAUGUAGAGCUGCAUUGGAAAUGCUACCUUGUGUCCCCAUGAGAGAUAACUUUAUCAACUGGAGAGCAGUGUUUAUAGGCCCUUGCUUUUGUCUUUAGUGUUAUAGACUCCACUCAUUUCCAAAGUCCCUUGGGUCUGCAUCAUCCCCCUGCCCUCACUGUAUUCAGAGACUCUGUUUCAUACAUUUGUAAUGCAUUUAUAAUUUAUAUUCUUUUGUCAUAAUCUGUAUUAAUUCCUUGGAUUCCCUGACUUUCAAAAUGACUUAUUUACAAAAUUUGGACAUAUUAAAAUUUAUCCUUUGUGCUAUGUUGUAUGGGUUUUGAAAAAUGCAUAAUAUCAUAAAUCCACUGUCACAGUAUCAUACAAAAGAGUUUAAUUGGAGUUCCCGUCGUGGUGCAGUGGUUAACGAAUCCGACUAGGAACCAUGAGGUUGCGGGUUCAAUUCCUGCCCUUGCUCAGUGGGUUAACGAUCUGGCGUUGCUGUGAGCUGUGGUGUAGGUUGCAGACACGGCUUGGAUCCUGCGUUGCUGUGACUCUGGUGUAGGCCGGUGGCUACAGCUCCGAUUCAACCCUUAGCCUGGGAACCUCCAUAUGCCGCGGGAGCGGCCCAAGAAAUAGCAACAACAACAACAACAACAAAAAGACAAAAGACAAAAAAAAAAAAAAA